GACGUAGGGCGCGAGCGUUGUCCGGAUUUAUUGGGCGUAAAGAGCUCGUAGGCGGCUUGUCGCGUCGAAUGUGAAAACCUGCAGCUCAACUGCAGGCUGCAUUCGAUACGGGCAGGCUCGAGUUCGGUAGGGGAGACUGGAAUUCCUGGUGUAGCGGUGAAAUGCGCAGAUAUCAGGAGGAACACCGGUGGCGAAGGCGGAUCUCUGGGCCGAUACUGACGCUGAGGAGCGAAAGCGUGGGGAGCGAACAGG
rnacentral:rRNA from 1 species